UACAUGGGGUGCAAACGUUGCUCGGAAUUAUUGGGCGUAAAGCGCACGUAGGCGGUUUGUUAAGUCGGAUGUGAAAUCCCUCGGCUCAACUGAGGAAGUGCACCCGAAACUGGCAGGCUUGAGUACUAAAGAGGGUCGCGGAAUUCCCGGUGUAGAGGUGAAAUUCGUAGAUAUCGGAAGGAACAUCAGUGGCGAAAGCGACUUCCUGGACCAGUACCGACGUUCAGGCACGAAAGCGUGGGGAGCAAACAGG
rnacentral:rRNA from 1 species